UUGGCCCUGAAUCAAGGCUGACAAUUUGAUGGAGCUGUUGUUUCAAGUGGGCACCUAAAGAAAUGUCUUCCUAUGGUCUGUUGGCCAUUUCAGAACUUUGGAAAUGUUAUAGUCAAUUUAUUAGAAAGAGACAUCU
rnacentral:snoRNA from 1 species